ACCUGGAGGAAGGUGGGGAUGACGUCAAAUCAUCAUGCCCCUUAUGCUUAGGGCUACACACGUGCUACAAUGGGUAGUACAGAGGGUUGCCAAGCCGUAAGGUGGAGCUAAUCCCUUAAAGCUACUCUCAGUUCGGAUUGUAGGCUGAAACUCGCCUACAUGAAGCUGGAGUUACUAGUAAUCGCAGAUCAGAAUGCUGCGGUGA
rnacentral:rRNA from 1 species